GGGCCCGCACAAGCGGUGGAGCAUGUGGUUUAAUUCGAUGAUACGCGAGGAACCUUACCAGGGCUUAAAUGUAGUCUGACAGGGGUGGAAACACCUUUUUCUUCGGACAGAUUACAAGGUGCUGCAUGGUUGUCGUCAGCUCGUGCCGUGAGGUGUCAGGUUAAGUCCUAUAACGAGCGCAACCCUUGUCGUUAGUUGCCAGCGAGUAAUGUCGGGAACUCUAGCGAGACUGCCGGUGCAAACCGUGAGGAAGGUGGGGACGACGUCAAAUCAUCACGGCCCUUAUGUCCUGGGCUACACACGUGCUACAAUGGCCGGUACAGUGGGCAGCCACCCCGCGAGGGGGAGCGAAUCCAUAAAGCCGGUCUCAGUUCGGAUCGGGGUCUGCAACUCGACCCCGUGAAGCUGGAAUCGCUAGUAAUCGCAGAUCAGCCAUGCUGCGGUGAAUACGUUCCCGGGCCUU
rnacentral:rRNA from 1 species